rnacentral:rRNA from 1 species
UACGUAGGGGGCAAGCGUUGUCCGGAUUUAUUGGGCGUAAAGAGCGUGUAGGCGGUCUGGUAGGUCCGCUGUGAAAACUCGAGGCUCAACCUCGAGACGUCGGUUGAAACCGUAUGGCUAGAGUCCGGAAGAGGAGAGUGGAAUUCCCGGUGUAGCGGUGAAAUGCGCAGAUAUCGGGAAGAACACCCGUGGCGAAGGCGGCUCUCUGGGACGGUACUGACGCUGAGACGCGAAAGCGUGGGGAGCGAACAGG